rnacentral:lncRNA from 1 species
AUGGGACGCGAUUGCCGAGCAGCUCCCCGGUGCCGGGGGACCGCGGCACGGGCCCCGGAUCGCCGCUGUGCUCUGCGCCAUGGGCUGCCUAUGGCACGGGGCACGGCACGGCGACCUGCGCCACGACCACUAGCCAGCCGCCACUGCCGAGGGGUCCCCGGCACGUGCCAGCGGCACCUCCAUCCCGCACGGACGCUUGCUUGGACGGAUGCUGCCCUGGGGCUGGUGUCAGGCCGCCCGAGCGGAGCGGGUGGAGAGCACCCACGAUGCAGCCGCCCCUCGGUGCUGCUCCCGCCGGCUCCGAUGUCUGCCCACCCCGCGGUGCCCCCCCCGGCUUUCGCCCCAGCCCCUCCGUGCCGCGGCACUGCCGGGGGACCCGGAGGCCGAUGGCUGCGGCAGAGGCUCGGCUGCUGCCCUGGUCCAGCCCGGCCCCGCAGGCGGCCACGGACACGCCGGCUCCUCGUGGGGUGCCGCGGCGGUACCCCUGCCCGCAGUGCCUUGCCGUCCACACCAGACCUCUGCGUGCGGCUGCUGGAGAAGUGCCUCAUCCUGCCCUCCCCGGUGGCGGGAGGCUGCCCAGGCAAGGACCGGUCGCGGAGGGGGGCCCGGAGAGACCCCCCCCCCUUGCCACCGCCUGCCUGGGACCCUCCCCGCCUCCAUCUCACCCAAAGCGUGUGCGUGCGAUGGGCAUCAUCGCAGCCGCACAAAGCAAUAAGAGACCUUCCCCCUCCGUGCUGCAGCCCCCCCAGCCCCAUAGCCCGGGUACUGCCUGCCCCACAGCCCAGCCCUGUCCCGCUCCCUGCGCAGGGACAGAGCUGGCGGCCGCAGCCUUUUCCUCCCGUCCGUCCCGUCUCCCCCUGCCCCGUCCCCAGCUACCGUCCCCGGGGCGAGGGGGGGCAGGCACCCCCAGGCGUGCGGGGGUGCGUCCCUGCGGGCGCUGGGUCCAAGGGGAGGGUUGGGGGGCAAGGGACACCCAGGAAACACCUCCCAGCAGGAAGGGCUUCUUUUGUUUGUUUUUUUUUUUUUUCUUCCCCAAAGAUUUUUAAUAUUUGA